rnacentral:rRNA from 1 species
UACGGAGGGAGCUAGCGUUGUUCGGAAUUACUGGGCGUAAAGCGCACGUAGGCGGCUUUUUAAGUCAGGGGUGAAAUCCCGGGGCCUCGAACCCCGGAACUGCCCUUGAAACUGGAGAGCUAGAAUCUUGGAGAGGCGAGUGGAAUUCCGAGUGUAGAGGUGAAAUUCGAUAGAGAUCCGGAAGAGCACCAGUGGCGAAGGCGGCCCGACUGGGCCAGUGGCUGGACGCUGAGGCGCGACAGCGU